GGUUUCCGUAGGUGAACCUGCGGAAGGAUCAUUGUCGAAACCUGCAAUAGCAGAGCCACACGUGAACUUGUUUUUAAACCUUCUUUGUCGCGCGAUGGAUGGUUGCCACGUGCCUCCUCCAUUGCCGGCAUGAACAAUUUCCGGCGCGGAAUGCGCCAAGGACUAUGAACGUAAGCUUCACCAUCUCGUGCCGACUGGUUGCGUUGAGGUGUUGCGUCGUUGAAAAAUAUAAUCGAAUGACUCUCGGCAACGGAUAUCUCGGCUCUCGCAUCGAUGAAGAACGUAGCGAAAUGCGAUACUUGGUGUGAAUUGCAGAAUCCCGUGAACCAUCGAGUCUUUGAACGCAAGUUGCGCCCGAAGCCUUUUGGCCGAGGGCACGUCUGCCUGGGCGUCACGCAUCGCGUCGCUCCCCACCCAGCUUUGGUUGGGUUCAAGGGGCGGAGAGUGGUCUCCCGUGUGCUUUGUCUGGCACGGAUGGCCUAAAAAUGGAGCUUGCAGCAGUGAGCGCCGUGAUGAUUGGUGGUUGGACGGGUUUCGGCCCUAGAAGCAUCUCAUCACGAGGCGUCGGGCAUGCAUGCUUGGUUGACUUGACCAUUUUGAUGUCUUUGCGACUAAGUCGCUUUGCAUCGUUCACCCUUGCGACC
rnacentral:rRNA from 1 species